rnacentral:tRNA from 1 species
GCCUUCAUGGUGUAGUGGUCAGCACGCUCGACGAGUAACCGAGUGGUCCGUGGUUCAAGUCCCGGCGAAGGCC